AUACUUACCUGGCAAGGGAGAUACCGUGAUCAAGAAGGCGGUUCACCCAGGGCGAGGCUCAGCCAUUGCACUCCGGCUGUGCUGACCCCUGCGAAUUUCCCUAAUGUGGAAAUCUCGAUUGCAUAAUUUAUGGUAGUGGGGGACUGCGUUCGCGCUCGCCCCUG
rnacentral:snRNA from 8 species